rnacentral:rRNA from 1 species
UGAUCAUGGCUCAAAACGAACGCUGGCGGCAGGCUUACCCUUUGCAAGUCGAGCGCCCCGCAAGGGGAGCGGCAGACGGGUGAGUAACGCGUGGGAAUCUACCUUUUGCUACGGAAUAACUCAGGGAAACUUGUGCUAAUACCGUAUGUGCCCUUCGGGGGAAAGAUUUAUCGGCAAAGGAUGAGCCCGCGUUGGAUUAGCUAGUUGGUGGGGUAAAGGCCCACCAAGGCGACGAUCCAUAGCUGGUCUGAGAGGAUGAUCAGCCACACUGGGACUGAGACACGGCCCAAACUCCUACGGGAGGCAGCAGUGGGGAAUAUUGGACAAUGGGCGCAAGCCUGAUCCAGCCAUGCCGCGUGAGUGAUGAAGGCCCUAGGGUUGUAAAGCUCUUUCACCGGUGAAGAUAAUGACGGUAACCGGAGAAAAAGCCCCGGCUAACUUCGUG